ensembl:lncRNA
UCUAAGCAGUAAAACGAAAUCCUUAAGUUGGGUUAUGGCGGAGUGUAGUUUUUUUGACUGCACUAAUAGUUCGUAAACACCACACAGGAAGUAGGAAAAGAACUACAUUUCCCAUCUGCCCUGGCUGUCAGAGGCUAAUAGCACCAGCUGCUUUCCAUUGCCCUAAUGAAUGAUUCUACUGCUGCAACGAGACCAAAUACAACGAAAGUAUUGAUGCUGCAAAAGAAGACGGAUCUUUUGGUAGGCUGGUUAAUGAUGACCACAAGCACCCAAAUGGCAGAAUGCAGAAGACUGAAGUGGAUGGAAGCCCACAUCUUGGUCUGUUUGCUUUAACAGACUUUAAAGAAGGUGAUGAAUUACCUGCAAUUACGGAGGAGGAGACUGGCCUUGGUGUAGCAAGAUUAUGGAGGAGGACACUGCUGAGAGCAAUGGCCAGGAGAAACAGCAG